rnacentral:ncRNA from 1 species
UAGAAACUUUGUAUCGAUUAAUAAUUAGCUUAAGUUUAACUUAAUAUGGUAAUUUUGGUAUAAAAAGAAAAAUAAAUCAAUUUGUUUCUUUAAUUUAACCCAGAAAGUAACAUUAAACUAUAUUAGAAAUAAUAAUUUAGUUAAGCUUAAAAAGUUGGACUAAUUAGGUGCCAGCAGUCGCGGUUAUACCUAACAUCUAAGUUAAUUUUAUUAGGAAAGCUUUAUUAAAAAAUUUUUAUAGCUAGGUAAAAUUUUUAUAAAAAAGAGUCUUGUUUUAAUUUAAAACAAAUGCUAGAAUUCUAAAAAUAAACUAGGAUUAGAUACCCUAUUAUAUAGAACUAAAAUCUGUUUCCUAAGCACUAAGACUUUAAAGUUAAAACUUAAAUUACAUGGCGGCAGUUAAAAACUUUAGGGGAACUUGCUAAAUAAAUGAUAAUCCACAAAAAAUUCUACUUUCAAAUAAUUAGAAGUUUGUAUAUCGCCGUCUUCAGUUCUCGUUUCAGAUGAGGCCAAAACCUAAAAAUAAAAAAAGACAGGUCAUGAUGCAGCUAACAUGAAAGUUUAAAGUGAGUUACAAUAUAUAUUAAAUUUGGAAUUUUUUUGAAAAUAAAAAAUAAAGUGGACUUGAAAGUAAAACUUAAAAAAUACCUAGAUUGAAUAAAAAAUUUUAACUGUGCACAUAUCGCCCGUCGCUUUCGUUGAAAAACGAAAUAAGUCGUAACAUAGUAGGUGUACUGGAAAGUGUACCUGUCUUGUU